rnacentral:rRNA from 1 species
GAUGAACGCUGGCGGCGUGCCUAAUACAUGCAAGUCGAGCGAACAGACGAGGAGCUUGCUCCUCUGACGUUAGCGGCGGACGGGUGAGUAACACGUGGAUAACCUACCUAUAAGACUGGGAUAACUUCGGGAAACCGGAGCUAAUACCGGAUAAUAUAUUGAACCGCAUGGUUCAAUAGUGAAAGACGGUUUUGCUGUCACUUAUAGAUGGAUCCGCGCCGCAUUAGCUAGUUGGUAAGGUAACGGCUUACCAAGGCAACGAUGCGUAGCCGACCUGAGAGGGGGAACGGCCACACUGGAACUGAGACACGGUCCCAACUCCUAAGGGAAGCAGCAGUAGGGAAUCUUCCGCAAUGGGGGGAAGCUUGACGGAGCAACGCCGGGUGAGGUAUGAAGGUCUUCGGAUCGGAAAACUCUGUUAUUAGGGAAGAACAAAUGUGUAAGUAAAUAUGCACGUCUUGACGGUAACUAAUCAAAAAGCCCCGGCUAACUACGUG